AGCAGUGCCAGGUACGUCUCACAGUCACUCUUGGCCCCCCGUGUACACCUCUACUGCUAUAUAACUGAUACUGCAUUGAAAAUUGUAGAAGUGAAGUGUCAAAUUUUUGACUCAUUUUAAUCGAGUUACAAACUAAUAAAGGCAUCAUUAGAGUGGUAAAACAUCCACAAUACUGUUAUAUGGUGAAUCACUGUUAGUGUUGUAGUUGUGAAGAGAAAAUAAGAGUGCGUCGUCACAUCUACGCAGCAGCAGCAGCAGCAGCGUCUCCUUGGCCAAGACCAAGGACUUCUCGCUAGCAACAGCCAGGAGAAGCUAUAAGUGUACAAUGUCGUACCGCGGCGAAGCCAGUCUGGCUAACUCAACCAGAGAAGCAGAUGGAAAACUGUACACUUUGUAUCCUCGCCCAGGUAGUGAGAGUCCAGUGUUUAUCCACGAGGGGUUCAGUGUUGAUACUGCUCUGAAGGACAUUGAAGCAAUGAUUGAGGCCAAUGACACUCCAAGACCCAAUAAGAUCUCUGCUCCUUAUGAGGUGCCACAGUUUCCUAUCGAACAGAUUGAGGACAAACUGACAUUUCAUCGUCAUCUUAGUGUAUUGGCCGUUGAACGAACAUCUAGAUUUGAGCCAUCAGAAACUUGUUUGGAUGACGAAGAUACAAAAGGAUUUGAAGUGGAUGAGACUGACUCUGUUCCUCAUUACCAGCGGGUCUUCAUCAGUGGUGAGGAAUCGACUAGAACACUUCAACAUCAUAGAAUCUUGGCACAGAGGACAUCUCCACAACCUUCUUUGUGACUGCUGGCCCAUUCCUUGGGUAUAACCUAUUUCCACUGGUGAAUCCCACCUACCAGUGACAAUGCCUUCAUCUGCUGCACGUCCUUCACCUGACGUUGGUAUAUAAGCACUAAGUUCCAUAACUGUGCUUCACUUCCUUCAAGACUACAGUGCUCUUCACCAACUCCAAGGCUGUAUAAAACAUCAUGUCCUUGUAUUGAUAAAGCCACUGGUUGGCGAAACGUCCUCAAAUAAAGAUACCCAGAGGUUGAACAUGUGUCUAAUUCUUCAUCUUGUCAGUAUUGUAUACCAUUUAUGUGCAAAGUUUUAUAUAAAACUUACAGAACUACACAAGUGCGAAGUUGGAGGUUGGGUAGCAUUUUAUGUGACUGAAAUUUAUCCCAACUUGAGGCCUGUUUUUAGACCAGUUCAAGUUCUCAAACCAACCUAAUUCCUGUCUUCACUAUUUUGCCUUCCAUUCUAUUGUUUAAGCUCAAGAAAAUGCCCAUUUAACUAUCAGGACUACUCCGUAAAGUCCCCAGAAGUCUGUAAUUGGGACAUUUUAUGCAAAAUUCAACAAAUUCCACAUUAAAACAGCCCAAAAUAAACACUGUAGGCAUUCCAUCCACUAAAGUAACCUUUUCUUUGUUCAUUAACAUUGUCUCUAGGCCUCUCCUGUAUAACACUCAUACUCCUGUUUUUAAUCCAUCAUCACCAAAAAAUAAAAAUUUUGCCCUGUUUACCAGCAAAUAAAAUAUAACCAAGAAUAAUUUGUCAUGGUUUAUUUGGACUGUCCAUGUAAUUGAAAUUGACUUAGUAAAAAUCCAUUAACCAGACUAGGGGGGGGGGGGGAAGGGGAUGAGCCCAUCCUCAAGAAAAUUGUCAAAAAUCAAAUAUUUUCAGGCCAAUUCUGGUCUGUAACUCACUAAAAUCAACUCUUUAACUAGCAAGUCUUCUAAUCUAUCAAAUGAUACAAAGAAAUUAAUAAAACCAUGACAACCACCCUACAAAAUGCUUCAGAUUUGCUAUUUUUUCUCAAGCACAAAGUUAAAAGUUUAGCUGUUCCCCUCAUGCACUACUUGGUGCUGGAUUUUUUUUUUUCAACUGUGAAUGCCCAUUGCACAUCCAUUUUCUCAUGUCUACAUUAAAAUUUACUGCUCACAGCAUUAUAUUCCUCUUACAACCAUGUAUCGUGUCAAAAUAAACUUCUUAUUCUUAUCCUAGACUUCAUCUUAUGAAAGCUGACAAAGCAAAUGUGAUGGUUAUUAUGGACAAGGUAGAUUAUAGCGGAAAAAUGAACACAUUAUUAGAAGACGGGGAUACUUAUGUACCCCAUAAUAAGAACCCUUUGGACCAGGUUAAUAGUAAGUUUAAUAAAAUACUUAGAACCUUACUGAGAGGUAAUGAGGAAUUAACUAAACAGUUAUCGGCGAGAUCUGCGACACUCCCUUACAUGUACAGUUUGAUUAAAACCCACAGGCCUGGUCUUCCAGCCAGACCUAUAAUUAAUUCUGUAGGAUUGGCAUCAUAUGCCUUGUUAAAAUGGUUGGUAAAAUUAUAGUAACUCCUUUGCUUGGCAACAUUUCUGAAACCCACUUAAAAGACAAUGUUGAUCUCAUCGACAAAUUGCAAAAUAUGAACAUGUCUAAUGAUUUUACACUUGUUAGUUUUGAUGUCACUGCGUUGUUCACGAGAGUCCCUGUUCCCGACUUGCUAUCUUAUUUGGAAGAAAAAUUAGAUGAGUUCUCUUUUCCGUUUGAUAAAAAUACAACGAACCCUUGGUUAUCGGCCAUAAUCCAUUCCAGAACGUUGGCCUAAAUCUGAAAAGGUCGAAAACUGAAAUAAUAUUUCCCAUAAGAAUUAAUGUAAAUGCAAUUAAUCCAUUCCAGACACCCAAAAAUAUUAAAAAAAAAAAUACAUUUUUUAAAGAUUAACUAUAGUUUUACAUACACAAAACAAUGAGAACUAAAUGAAAUAAAUAAAUGAACAUUUAAAUCACUUUAAAUACCUUUAUUGAAGACUCUUGUUGGCUUAUGGAAGACAGGGAGGAGGAGAGAGGGAGGACUGAUUAUUGUUUGGAAGGGGAAUCCCCCUCCAUAAGGACUUCAGGUAUCAAAGCCCUCUCUGGGGUUACUUCCCUUCUUUUUCUUUUACUGCCACUAGGUCCAGCUUGAGAGUCAGUGCACCCCUGUCACACCAAAAAACUGUCCAGAGAGGUCUGUUUCUGGCAUCUCUCUAAGAUUUGCCUGAAGUGGGUCAAGGCAUUGUCACUGAACAUGUUGCAGAUAUGGCUUGUUUCAGCUUGGCCAGGGUGAUAUUUCUCUACAAAACUUUGCAACUCACUCCACUUUGCACACAUGUCCUUAAUCACUGAAGAAGGCACAUUCUUCCCUCUCUCUUCCUUCUCCUCUACAGCAAUUUCCUCAGCUGUGGUCUGUUGCUGUUGCAGAUGAAGGUCUUGCAGCACUUCAGUGGUUAGCUAUUCCCUGUGGUCCUCCACCAACUUUUCCACAUCCUGGCCACUCACAUCCAACCCCAUGGACUUCCCCAAAGAGACAAUAGAUUCCACAACAGGCGUAGGGUCGUCAGGGUCAGCCUCCUUAUCGAGGACACAUUCUGGCUACAAUUUUCUCCAAGCAGAGUUGAAAGUUCUGGAAGUCACUCCCUGCCAAGCCUUACUUAUAAGGCUUAUGCAGUGGAGGAUAGUGAAAUGAUUCCUCCAGAACUGUCUUAGGGUCAAGCCAGUGUCCGAGAUAACUUCAAAGCACUUUGAAACAUUGCUUUCGUGUAGAGUUUUUUGAAGUUAGAAGUGACCUGCUGGUCCAUGGGCUGGAUGAGAGGAGUGAUGUUAGGAGGCAAGAACUUCACUGUUAUAAAAUUGAAGUCCCUAAACAAAUGGUCUUCCAUGUCUGGAAGGUAAGCAGGAGCAUUGUCCAGUACCAGGAGGCACUUGAGUGGCAAUUUAUUUUCCUGGAGGUAUUUUUUCACACUGAGGCCAAACACUACUAGCUUUCCACAACACGCACAAUUUACUUUUGACGACAUUGUUUUUCUUGAACACUCUGGGAUUUUGAUAGUGAUACACCAGUAAAGACUUCACUUAGAAAUCCCCACUAGCAUUACCACAGAACAAAAGAGUUAUCCUAUCCUUCAUAGGCUUGUGUCCUGGCAAUACCUUUUCCUCCUGCGUGAUGUAGGUCCUCUUUGGCAUUUUCUUCCAAAAGAGGCCUGUUUUGUUGCAAUUGAACACUUGUUGGGGGAGGAAUCCUUCAGCCUCUACGUACUCCUUGAAUUCAUGCACAAAUUCUUCAGCUGCACGUUUGUCUGAACUUGCAGCCUCGCCAUGCCUUACAACACUUUAUAUGCCACUACACUUCUUAACCGUUAAACGGUCCAAAUGUAUAUAUACGUUUACUCGCGUAGCGCCCCAAAUUUUUUGAGGAAAAAAAAUCCUUUCUUUUAAAAGGAAAAAAAGAGCAUAUGGUACCCAGGCAUCCCCAAUUAUUUUAAUAUAGCACACAGUGAGUGCGCACACCCAUUCUCUCAUGUCUAGGUGACUCAGGCUUAUUGUGGCAAUGUUGAAUGAAUGAUUGACAAAGAAAAUGUAUAUAUACGUUUGGGGCACUACGCGCAUGACCGUAUAUGUACGUUUGGACCGUUUAAGGGUUAAAUCUCUCAAAUCAGCCUUUGCUGGCCCUAAAUUCACUAACAGCAGCACUCGUUCCAGGCAUUUUAUUCACAAGAUCCGCAUGUAACUGCCUUGUCUUUUCACAAAUGAUCGACUCCACAACACUAUCUCCCGCCAAUUGUUUAUCGUUGAUCCACAUCAACAAUAACCUCUCCACAUCUUCAGUUAUUGGUGACCUUUAUUUCGUUAGCAUAUUUACCCCUUUCACAACAUUAGCUUCCUUGAUUUCUACUUUCUUUGCCAGAAUGGAAGUGAUUGUUGAUUUGGAUUUCCCACACAUCCUGGCAAGCUGGAGCACACGUACACCACUCUCAUACUUUGCUUCAAUUUCUUUUUUUAAUUCCAUCGUGUUUCUCACUUUCUUUACCACAGGAACUUUACGAAGGAACUUUCUUUGGGCCCAUGGUGGCUUAUUUCGCAGUUGCAGUCAGUAAGCACCCAGAAAAACAAUGGAUUAAUGUAUAAUGAAGUGUUUGGAUGAAUGCGCAGAGUCUUCCUCGCUCUCCGAGAGAGACAGCCAAACUGACUCACGAACCCGGUAGGGUGGCAGGAUGGACACAUCCGAUACAGCCAAUUUCCGAGUUGACAGCCGAAAUCCGGGAUAGAAUAUCGGCCAAAAAAGUGGCCGAAAUUCUUCUCUGUAUGUUCUCCGAGUCCAUAUCCAUCCUGUAGUAAGGGGACCAAAACUGAGUGGCAUAAUCCAAAUGAGACCUCACUAGUGAGAUAUAGAGCUGUAAAAUAACUUUUGGACUAAUGUUACUUAUACUUCUAGAGAUAAAUCCUAGUACAGUGGACCCCCGGUUAACGAUUUUAAUCCGUGCAAGAGGGCUCAUCGUUAUGCGAAAUAAUCGUUAUGCGAAUUAAUUUUCCCCAUAAGAAAUAAUGGAAAUAAAAUUAAUCCGUGCAAGACGCCCAAAAGUAUGAAAAAAAAAUUUUUUUACCACAUGAAAUGUUAAUUUUAAUACACACAAACUGAAAAAGGCAUGCACAAUUACAUGACACUUACUUUUAUUGAAGAUCUGGUGAUGAUUGAUGGGAUGGGAGGAGGGGAGAGCAUUAUCUUCUUACUGUUUAGAAGGGGAAUCCCCUUCCAUUAGGACUUGAGGUAGCAAGUCCUUUUCUGGGGUUACUUCCCUUCUUCUUUUAAUGCCACUAGGACCAGCUUCAGAGUCACUGGACCUCUGUCGCACAACAAAUCUGUCCAUAGAGCUCUGUACCUCCCGUUUCUUCAAGACUUUCCUAAAAUGGGCCAUAACAUUGUCAUUGAAAUAGUCACAAGCACGGCUUGCAACAGCUGUGUCAGGGUGAUUUUCAUCUAUAAAGGUUUGCAGUUCAAACCACUCUGCACACAUUUCCUUAAUCUUUGAAGUAGGCACAAUGGAUUCCACAACUGGCAUAGGCUUCUCAGGGUUAGCCCCAAACCCUUCAAAAUCUUUCUUAAUUUCCAUACUAAUUCUCACCCUUUUUACCACAGGGUUGGCACUAGAAGCUUUCUUGGGGCCCAUGGUCACUUAUUUUCCAGAAACACCACCGAAAACACUGUAAUAAUACGAAAUAUUCCGAGUGUAUGCUUGGAUGUUACCGCGGAGGCUGGCUGGUAAACAAUGGGACGGCCGGCACAUGUGAGGGCACAUUGGACGCGUCUCGGACGAAAAUCGGUAUGCGGGUUUUUAAUCGGUAUGCGGGGCAAAAAUUUUGCGAUAAAAGUAAUCGUUAUGCGGAAAAAUCGCUAUGCGAUGCCAUCGUUAUGCGGGGGUCCACUGUAUAAUCUGUUAGCCUUGUUGCGCACACUAAGGCACUGCUGUCUUGGCUUUAGAUUUCUGCUUACCAUGACUCCCAAGUCUUUUUCAUAUUCUGUAUGAUCAAGCUCUACUUCACCUAGUUUAUAGCUUCGAGGGUUAUUUUCGUUACCAAGGACUAGUACCUUACACUUAUCCACAUUGAACUUCAUCUGCUAUUUUUCAGACCAAGACAUUAAUUUGUCCAAAUCCUCCUGGAGUUCAUUGUUAUCCUCCUCAGAAUGAAUUAUACGGCCUAUCUUUGUAUCAUCAGCAAAUUUACUCAUGUCAAUCGUAAUCCCUUCAUCAAGGUCAUUAAUGUAAAUUAUGAACAAGAGAGGUACUCUAUUGAAGGCUUUACUAAAAUCCAAAUAAACAAUAUCAUAUUCUUUAUCACUGUCCAUUGCCUGAAAUGUUCUAUUGAAGAAUGUCAGUAAAUUUGUCAGGCAGGUACGACCUCUCGUGAACCCAUACUGAGAUUCAUUAAUCAAAUUAUGCUCUUCAAGGUGACUUCUAAUAAUGGCAGCUAUAAUUGAUUCUAAUAACUUGUCCACUAUAGAUGUCAGGCUAAUUGGAGGGUAAUUUGAAGGAGUGGACUUAUCCCCUGAUUUGAAUAUAGGAACCACAUUAGCCAUCUCUCACAACUCUGGAACAACACCGGUAAGGAUGGAUACAUUAAAAACACUCAUUAAUGGCUGACUAAGCUCCAUCUUGCAUUCCUUAACCCUUUGAGGGUUUUUGACGUACUAGUACGCCUAAAUUCUAGCGCCCUCAAAUCUAGUGGGAGAAAGCUGGUAGGCCUUCAUAUGAAAGAAUGGGUCUAUGUGGUCAGUGUGCACAGUCUAAAAAAAAUCCUGCAGCACACAGUGCAUAGUGAGAAAAAAAAACUUUGACCGUUUUUUUGUAUAAAACAGCGACUUUGCACUGUAUUUUCGUAUGGUAUUUAUUGUUGUAUUCUAGUUUUCUUGGGGUCAUUUUAUAGAAUGGAAGACAUUACAGAAAUUGAGAUGAUUUUGACUGGUUUUACAAUGAAAGGUACCUUGAAAUUGAGCUCAAAGUAGCAGAAAUGUUCGAUUUUUACCAAAUUUCAAAAGUAAACAAAUCGUGCCAAGCGUGCAAUACACGUCAACUGGUGAGUUUAAUAUUCUUUCACAAGUGCGCCAAUAAUAAUUAUACCAUUUUUUACACUAAUGCAGUAGUCUGCAUAACAGUAAAUCUUAUAUUUUUUGUGAGAAUAAAAAUUCAAAGUGGAAAGCAAAAGAAUAUAAGAGGAAAUGUCAUUUUAGUGCCAGGAAUGUCUUUCUUGUUUAUUCUAGACCCUAUUCGGAAAUUGGCAUCUUUUGAAAUUUGUGUGAAAUUGGCAAAAUUGCUAAAUUCUGACCACUGUACUGGAUAGUUGAAUUUCAUAAAUGGGUGGUUUCUUGCACCCAUUCGAUAGAAAAAAUGGAGUUCUAGCGAAAUAUUCAUGUUUUUUGUCGACUAGUACAGUGGAAUUGGCCGAAAAUGGGGCUCAAAGUGGGCAAAAUCGCCGAUGCGUGAACAUCGCCGAGACCGCUAACUUCGUGAGAGCAUAAUUCCGUAAGUUUUCCAUCAAAUUUCAAACUUUUGGUGUCCUUAUGAUCGGGAAAAAAUUCUCUAUCUUUUCAUAAGAGAAUUUUUUUUUUUUUUUUUUAAAUUUGGCCGACCCUGAGAACGAGUUUCGGAGAGGGCCUGUCGACCCUCAAAGGGUUAAGUACCCUUGAAAACAACUCAUCGGGUCCCGGGGACUUAUUUUGCUUCAGUUUGUCUAUCUGUUUGAUAACCAUGUCCCUCGUGACAGUAAUAUUAAGUUAAUUUGAAUUCAUCAGUAACUGAAUAAUUGUUAAUUUCUGGAAUCUCGUUUAUGUCUUCCUGUGUAAAAACUGACAAAAAAUAGUCAUUAAAUAAGGAACACAUUUCCAGUUCCUUAUCCAUCAGCUGUCCAUUCCCAAUUUUCAGAGGUCCUACUUUUUCCUUCACUUUCGUCCUAUACACUUGAAAGAAGCCCUUUGGAUUGGUCUUUGAUUCAUUAGCAACUCUAAUUUCAUAUUCAUGUUUAGCCUUUCUAAUCCCCUUUUUUACUUCUCUUUUAAGCUGAACAUAUUGGUCAGUAAGGUUAACCUCUCCUCUUCUGAUGCGCCUAUAAAUUCCCCUUUUCUCCCCUAAUAGAUGCUUUAGCCUCCUGUUAACCCAUUUGGGAUCGUUAUUAUUAGACCUAAUUUCUCUCUGGGGAAUGUAUAUACUCUGAGCACGGUGUACAUUAUUAAGAAAUAAAUCAUAAUGCAGAUCCCUUCGUAAUCAUAAGUAUGAUCGUCGAAGAAAUGCUGAACACUGACAAUGAUGCACCUGUUGUGCAUUCUUUGAGUGAUGGUGAAAUUAGAUGAAUUGUGAUGUAUAAAUAAGCCGUAGAGUUGAUAUUAGCAUCAUAUUGAAAUAUUUUGUCGUGCCUCCUAAGAGCAGGAAUUCCGCUGGAACGGAUUAAUGCCAUUUCAUUUAAUUUAAAUGAGGAAAAUUGACUCGGCAUACUAACAAAUCGGGAUACAAACGAGGUCAUGGAACAGAUUAAAUUCGUAAGCCAAGAUUCCACUGUACGUAUAUUCUUAUUCUCGUUACCUGUAAUCAUAACCCGGCCUUAAGUGAGAAUUCAUCACUUAUUUAUGAACCCUUGGAGACCAUAUAUAUAUAAGCAAUCAAUUAGUUACUGCCAUUUUAGUAUUACGCUAGGUUUAAGUAUGCUUGAAAUGCUCUGCAUAACCAGGGGCUUUCUGCAUGCAUGCCUAAAUGUCACCUUUCUCUGUACAAACAUUGUAUCAUGCUGAAAUAAAAGUUAGUUUUAUUUUUUUUUUCAACAAACCGGCCAUAUCCCACCAAGGCAGGGUGACUAAACAGAAAAAUGAAAGUUUCUCUUUUUAAAUUUAGUAAUUUAUACAGGAGAAGGGGUUACUAGCCACUUGCUCCCAGCAUUUUAGUUGCCUCUUAUGACACGCAUGGUUUACGGAGGAAGAAUUCUGUUUCACUUCCCCAUGGAGAUAAGAGGAAAUAAACAAGAACAAGAACUGAUAAGGAAAUAGAAGAAAACCCAGAGGGGGGAUGUGUAUAUAUUUUUUGUACAGUGUGAUCUAAGUGUAAAGAUUAAAGAUUUUUAUUUCUUUGCAGUGUUUACAAUGUGUGAUUGCAAUUUUGAUUAGUUAAGUACGAAGAAAGCCACUAUCAUGCUGGAGCAUUUUUGGCAGUAGCAAGACAUACCUGAAGCCUUGCAUGUUUAUGAGAGAAAAAAAGACACCAUCAUGUAAAACAAUUACAGGUUUCCAUUUCACACUCACUUGGCAGGACAGUAGAGUGUCUUCCAGGGGAGUUGCUGUCUACCAACCUACUACCUAGGAUUAUUAUUAUUAUUAUUUCUUACUUUUAUUAACAUAGCAACUGUUUCCCACCAAGGCAGGGUGAACCAAAAGAGAAGAAACAUUUUCAUCAUCACUGACUCCAUCACUGCCUUGUCAGAGGUGUGCUGGCACAACAGUUAACAAAAACUGUAUUUUGUGGACACAGUGGUGGCCCAUGCUAACCUUCCUAUGGUGUCUAGAAAUAUACCAUGUUGGAUGAAUGUUGUUAGCCCAGCAUGGUCCAGUGGAUAGUGCACUAGCCUGGUAGUUUUAUAACUAGAAUGUAAUAGGUUCUAGAUCCACCUGUUCUGUAAUUUAAUCUGAAACAUUUUCAUUCUCAAAAGAAAACCACUUGAUAUAAAAAGCAUUUUUGGAAAACAAAUCUUAAAAUAUAAAUACAUACUACUGUACUUAUACAAUGUUUAUUACUAUUUGAAAGUAAAAAAUAAAAUAGUGCUAAAUGUAAAAUAUUUGACAAAUAUUCUUAGAAAAAUUAAGCAAGUAAAUUAAAUUAGAGAAUAUUUUGGGUCAGGAGCACAUCUACAGUUAUAACUUGGGUGUCUAUGGAAAAAUAGGUUCUGAGUCUUGAACAGUUUUCAGGAAUACAUUAAUGUCGUAAGCGAGGGAUCUACUAUAAUGUCUUUUUUUAUGAAACUACAGUAAUAAAUUUAGCGGUCUUAUUGUACAGGUAUUUUUUUAUUGCCUACUUUUGUGCAGAAUACAUUAAUGCAUAAAAGUUACCUAAAUUGGAGUCUUAUAAAUAUACUGAUUUUAACAGGAACUGAAAAAAUUGCAAGUUUCUAUACUCAUUCUCAUUAAAAAAUUUUUCAUGCGAGCUUCUUCUAAGUGUGUAGCAUUGAAAAAGGGCUUUCUAAGAUAAGAGCAUUUUUACCAAUAUAGAUCUAAUUUAUGAAUGGGUAAAUGUUUUUCAACAAGAUAAUUCUGGCUUUCAUCAUCCUCUUCUAUGCCACCUCAGGAUAAACAAGAAGUUAAAGGAAAGGUAAGAGAAGCAUUAACAGUAAAUUGUGUACUAGAGUUCAGCUCCUUUACUAUUCUUCAUUUCCUUACUACUUUUUACUCCUUUAUUUGUUAGCCUCAUGGGUGUUGUAUGUCAUUUAUAAGUAAUAGGGUUGGUGGUUGUUUGCCCUUAGUCUUAGUGGAUGUAAUACAGUUUUGUAUAUUAUAAUUCAUAUCCUGUAUAUACAUGAACUGUAAAGCAUGUAAACUAAAGGUUAGCAUGCACACAAUAAACAAAAUUCCUGGGGAGCAAUCAGUCUAGGUGCUUGUUAUUUCUGUCUCACUUUUUUUCUCUGGCCAAUGGAACCUAGAUCAUCAUCUCUCCAAACUUAGUCUGUUUAAUUUGAAAAUUGUCCCUUUAUUGGUACAUGGAAUAAAUAUUCUCAUACAGCAGAACCUCAGUUGUCGACUGCAUUACUUGUCGAAUAAAUCAGUUUUUGAACAAGGAAUUCAAGAAAAAAUGUAAUAGUAAACUCCAGGUAAACUCCAGGUGUUCAUAUGUUCUCUUGGUUGUUGACUGACAACACGAAUGGCUCGGGUCACGUUCUUACUAACUCGCAUGCUAUAAACUCUCUUGAGCUUUUGUUGUGCAUCUUGUGAACUUUUUUGUUAUUUUGUGGUUUUGGUGCAGUUUUUUUAAGUGCAAGAUCAGCCAUCAUGGGUCCAAAGAAGGAUAAAGAGGUAAAAGCAAAAAGUUGUAAAAAGCACUGAUGAGUUUAAAAAAGAAGUCAUUAGAAAGUAUGAAGAAGGUAGGCUCUGCGUGGUUGAUAUGGCAAAACUUUCUGAUAAAUCAGCAUCUACCAUUAGCAUGAUACUGGGCCAAGGGGAAAAAAUUAAAGCAGCUGCCUUGCAAAAGGCUUGAAAGUGCUAUCAAAGCAAAGGCAACAAAUUAUUGAGGAGGUUGAAAAACUUUGUUGAUUUGGAUAAACGAAAAACAGUUACACGAUGAUAAUAUUUCAGAAGUCAUUAUUUGUGAAAAAGCGAGGCAGUUGCAUGAUAACCUCCUGAAAAAAAAACCUGGAACAAGUGCUGAAACUCAAUCCUUCAAGGCUAGUAGGGGUUGGUUUGAUAAUUUGGGGGAAAAGAAGUGGCAUUCAUAGUGUGACUAGGCAUGGGGAGGCUGCCAGUGCUGACAAAGUGGCUGUUGAAAAGUAUGUUACUGAAUUCCAAGAGUAUGUAGAGACUGAGGGGUUUGUCCCCAACAAGUGUUUGUGACAAGACAGGCCUCUUCUGGAAGAAAAUGUCCAAGAGGACCUACAUAACUGAAGAGGAAAAGUCAAUGCCAGGACACAAGCCAAUGAAAGACAGGCUCUCUCUCUUACUGUGUGGUAAUGCAGGUGGGGACUUGAAAUUGAAGCCCUUACUUGUUUACCAUUCCAAAAAUCUCCAAGUUUUUAAGAAGAACAAUAUUAUGAAAAGCAAACUGGCUGUAAUGUGGAGGGCCAUCACAAAAGCUUGGGUAACAAGACAAUUUUUUAUUGAGUGGGUUCUUGAGAUCUUUGCUCCCACUGUCAAAAAGUACAGUAGGGCCCCGCUUUAUGGCAUUUUGCCCUACUGCACUCCACUAAUACGGCAAUUUCAAAUUAUGAGCACAUCUCUCUAUUAUGUCUGGAAACUUUCCAAAAUUUCAAGUGUUUUAAAGUUAUUGCAUAUUUUAUAGGUGCUCUGAUAAUAAUACUUGUGUACCUGUACCUGUACCUACAUGCUGUGCUGGUGUGCAGGUACACAUUAAGACUAGAGUGUCCCUCUAGUCUUAAUGCCAUAGUAAUAUAGUACAUAAUAAUAACCACUCUUGGACACAUUAAAUGUCUUAUUUUAUGUUAAUAUAGACAUUUUUAUUAAUUUAUCUAUGAUAUUUUCUUCAAAAUUACAUAAACACAUUACAUAGCAUAUAAACAUGCUAUGUUUAUAUGCUAUGGAGGUGUGAUAGCCAGACGGAGGGAAAACAUUACGUUUUCUCUGGUCCAGCACAAGAGAAAACGUGUAUGAAUCUGCAUUUGGCCUAGUCACUUCCCUUAACACUCCACUUUUGUUUACAAUUCUCGGCAUGAAUUAUUCAUUGCUUCUCCCUUCAUUUAUGAUGGCGUGUAAAGGUAAUUGUUAGAAACGAUUAAAUUCAGUGAACAAGGUAUGUCGAUGGUAAUAAUAUGGCUCUGGGCCGCAGUGUAGGUAGCCGGUAGGUAUAGCCCAGGUGAGCUAUACCUACCGGCUACCUACACCUGACUUCCUACAAAUAAAUACUACUCACCUCUCAUCCAACAUUAAGACUACACGUACAAUAUUUUAAGGUAAAUAAUGAGUGUACUGUAUGUGUAAUUUAUCUCUCUGGGCUGCUUUAAAUAUCAUAUGUAUUAGGUUUGGGAUGGGGAGCCAGGGCUACCUACACCUGACUUCCUACAAAUAAGUGCUACUCACCUCUUGCCCUACAUUAAUAAAACUACAAAUAUUUUAAGAUAAGUAAUGAAUGUACUGUGUAUGUACAGUGGAACCUCAAAUAUCGAACUUUCUUUGGUCCAGAAGGCUGUUCGAGUGUCUUUACCGAAUGAAUUUAUUCCCAUGAGGAAUAAUGUAAAUUAGGUUAGUCCAUUUCAGACCCUCAAAAAUACACUUAUAAAAGCACUUACAAAAAUACACUUACAUAAUUGGUUGUGUUGGGAGCAGUUCGAGUUUUGAGGUUCCACUGUAUUUUACUUUUUAUUGUGUUUUUUAAUGCCUAUUCUGUUACUAACUUAAUAUAAGUUAGGGUAAACUUGUUGUCUGGCAUUUAUAUGCAUUUAUAAGUGGGAAAAAAUGGUUCUGCUUUCCGGCGAUAGCCUGGAACCUAACUUGCCGUAAAAAACAAUUGCCGCUCAGGCCUUUUUAUGUUCUUAUGGAUAAUGCUCCUACUCACCUUCCAAGCUUGGAAAAUGAGUUGCUGGAGGAGUUCAGUUUUAUAACUGUAAAGUUCUUGCUUCCUAACACUACUCCUGUAAUCCAGCCCAUGGACCAGCAGGUCAUUUCUAACUUCAAGAAACUCUACACCAAAGCACAUUUUGAAAGAUGCUUUGAAAUCACUUCAGAAACAAAUUUAACCCUCAGGGAGUUCUGGAGGGACCGUUUCAUUGUCUUCACCUGCUUUAGGCUUAUAGACAAAGCCUGGGGGAAUGUGUCUUCCAGGACCAUGCAGUCAGCAUGGAAGAAACCGUGGCCUGACUUUGUGGCAGCCAGGGAUUUUGGAGAUUUUGAAGAUGAGUCUGAGCCAGUAGAAGAUAUUGUGUCACUGGGGAAGACCCUGAGCCUAGAGAUGACUGAAGAUGAUGUGGAGGAGUUGGUGGAGGAGCAUAGAACUGACUCACCACAAAAGAACUUACAAAUUUUCAGGAGUAGCAACAGAUUUCAGUGGAGGAGCUGUCAUCGGGGGAAGAAGAUGGAAGGGAUGAUGUGCCCACUGCACUUAUCAAGGAAAUGUGUGCUAAAUGGCAUAAAGUGCAGGAGUUUGUUGAAAAAUACCAUCCAGACAAAGUGGCCAUCUGUCUCUCUAACAUGUACAAUGACAGUGUAAUGUCUCAGUUUAGACAGAUGUUAAAACAGAGUUAGAAACAAACCUCACUGGACAGGUUUUUUAGAACCAGUGAGCCAGAACAAAGUGUUAGUGGUGAAAAGAGACAAAGAAGAGAACACCAGAACAGCUCUUAGCUUGUCAAUAAAGUUAGGAAUCUUUAACCUGUAUAUGGCUUGUCAAUAAAACUAGGGAUCCUUGACCCAACCUUGUCAAACCCGGUGUAAGAAGAAAAAAAAAAAAAAGGACAAUUGCCUGACAUAUCAAUAGAAGGUAACUCCCCUUUCAA